rnacentral:rRNA from 1 species
AUUGAACGCUGGCGGCAGGCCUAACACAUGCAAGUCGAAUGGUAACAGGAAACAGCUUGCUGUUUCGCUGACGAGUGGCGGACGGGUGAGUAAUGUCUGGGAAACUGCCUGAUGGAGGGGGAUAACUACUGGAAACGGUAGCUAAUACCGCAUAACGUCGCAAGACCAAAGAGGGGGACCUUCGGGCCUCUUGCCAUCAGAUGUGCCCAGAUGGGAUUAGCUAGUAGGUGGGGUAACGGCUCCCCUAGGCGACGAUCCCUAGCUGGUCUGAGAGGAUGACCAGCCACACUGGAACUGAGACACGGUCCAGACUCCUACGGGAGGCAGCAGUGGGGAAUAUUGCACAAUGGGCGCAAGCCUGAUGCAGCCAUGCCGCGUGUAUGAAGAAGGCCUUCGGGUUGUAAAGUACUUUCAGCGGGGAGGAAGGGAGUAAAGUUAAUACCUUUGCUCAUUGACGUUACCCGCAGAAGAAGCACCGGCUAACUCCGUG